CACGUAGGGGGCGAGCGUUGUCCGGAUUUAUUGGGCGUAAAGAGCUCGUAGGCGGCCAACUAAGUCGGACGUGAAAUCCCCAGGCUCAACCUGGGAACUGCGUCUGAUACUGGAUGGCUUGAAUCCGGGAGAGGGAUGCAGAAUUCCAGGUGUAGCGGUGAAAUGCGUAGAUAUCUGGAGGAAUACCGGUGGCGAAGGCGGCAUCCUGGACCGGCAUUGACGCUGAGGAGCGAAAGCCAGGGGAGCAAAGCGGG
rnacentral:rRNA from 1 species